rnacentral:rRNA from 1 species
CCUACGGGUGGCAGCAGUGGGGGAUAUUGCACAAUGGGGGAAACCCUGAUGCAGCGACGCCGCGUGGGCGAAGAAGUAUUUCGGUAUGUAAAGCCCUAUCAGCAGGGAAGACGAAAUGACGGUCCCUGCGUAAGAAGCACCGCCUAAAUCCGUGCCAGCAGCCGCGGUAAUACGAAGGGGGACAGCGUUAUCCGGAUUUACUGGGUUUAAAGGGGGCGCAGCCGGCAAGGCAAGCCUGAUGUGAAAGCCCGCGGCCCAACCGGGGGACUGCAUUGGGAACUACCGGGCUGGAGUGCCGGAGAGGUAGGCGGAAUUCCUAGUGUAGCGGUGAAAUGCGUAGAUAUUAGGAGGAACACCAGUGGCGAAGGCGGCCUACUGGACGGUGACUGACGCUGAGGCUCGAAAGCGUGGGGAGCAAACAGGAUUAGAUACCCCAGUAGUC